GAUGAACGCUAGCGGCAGGCCUAACACAUGCAAGUCGAGGGGUAGGGUUAGCUUGCUAACUUGAGACCGGCGCACGGGUGCGUAACGCGUAUGCAAUCUACCUUGUACAGGGGGAUAGCCCAGGGAAAUUUGGAUUAAUACCCCAUGGUGUUAUGAUGUGGCAUCACAUUAUAACUAAAGUUCCAACGGUACAAGAUGAGCAUGCGUCCCAUUAGCUAGUUGGUGUGGUAACGGCAUACCAAGGCAAUGAUGGGUAGGGGUCCCGAGAGGGAGAGCCCCCACACUGGUACUGAGACGCGGACCAGACUCCUACGGGAGGCAGCAGUGAGGAAUAUUGGUCAAUGGGCGCAAGCCUGAACCAGCCAUGCCGCGUGCAGGAUGACGGUCCUAUGGAUUGUAAACUGCUUUUAUACGGGAAGAAACACUCCUACGUGUGGGAACUUGACGGUACCGUAAGAAUAAGGAUCGGCUAACUCCGUGCCAGCCGCCGCAGUAA
rnacentral:rRNA from 1 species